CCCUCCCAACGGCUUCCUGACGGGACGGUAUAACAACACCGGAGCA
rnacentral:ncRNA from 1 species